CUCAUUUCGCUCUAUGACCAUUCUCCUUCAGGGGCGGUCAUGGAUGCGGAGAGUGGCCCUCCAUGCCUCAUGUGCGACGGGCUUAAGUGUGGGCUGUCAGCGCCGGAAUGGGCACGACGUGUGGUGGACGAAGCACCAACAGGAUGUCGUGGACCCUGUUGCCUUGAGGGGCUCAAGAGACUCAGACUAGGUGAGCCGUGCUCCAUACAAGGAGGGCAUGUCAUCUCGCAAU
rnacentral:misc_RNA from 1 species